rnacentral:rRNA from 1 species
UGGAUCCAGACUUUGAUUCUGGCUCAGGACGAGCGCUGGCGGCGUGCCUAAUACAUGCAAGUCGAGCGAGCUUGCCUAGAUGAUUUUAGUGCUUGCACUAAAUGAAACUAGAUACAAGCGAGCGGCGGACGGGUGAGUAACACGUGGGUAACCUGCCCAAGAGACUGGGAUAACACCUGGAAACAGAUGCUAAUACCGGAUAACAACACUAGACGCAUGUCUAGAGUUUGAAAGAUGGUUCUGCUAUCACUCUUGGAUGGACCUGCGGUGCAUUAGCUAGUUGGUAAGGUAACGGCUUACCAAGGCAAUGACGCAUAGCCGAGUUGAGAGACUGAUCGGCCACAUUGGGACUGAGACACGGCCCAAACUCCUACGGGAGGCAGCAGUAGGGAAUCUUCCACAAUGGACGAAAGUCUGAUGGAGCAACGCCGCGUGAGUGAAGAAGGGUUUCGGCUCGUAAAGCUCUGUUGGUAGUGAAGAAAGAUAGAGGUAGUAACUGGCCUUUAUUUGACGGUAAUUACUUAGAAAGUCACGGCUAACUACGUGCCAGCAGCCGCGGUAAUACGUAGGUGGCAAGCGUUGUCCGGAUUUAUUGGGCGUAAAGCGAGUGCAGGCGGUUCAAUAAGUCUGAUGUGAAAGCCUUCGGCUCAACCGGAGAAUUGCAUCAGAAACUGUUGAACUUGAGUGCAGAAGAGGAGAGUGGAACUCCAUGUGUAGCGGUGGAAUGCGUAGAUAUAUGGAAGAACACCAGUGGCGAAGGCGGCUCUCUGGUCUGCAACUGACGCUGAGGCUCGAAAGCAUGGGUAGCGAACGGGAUUAGAUACCCUGGCAGUCCAUGCCGUAAACGAUGAGUGCUAAGUGUUGGGAGGUUUCCGCCUCUCAGUGCUGCAGCUAACGCAUUAAGCACUCCGCCUGGGGAGUACGACCGCAAGGUUGCAACUCAAAUGAAUUGACGGA